CCUACGGGAGACAGCAGUGGGGAAUAUUGCACAAUGGGGGAAACCCUGAUGCAGCGACGCCGCGUGAGUGAAGAAGUAUUUCGUUAUGUAAAGCUCUAUCAGCAGGGAAGAAAAUGACGGUACCUUAGCAACAAGCCCCCGCUAACUACGUUCCAGCAGCCGCGGUUAUACGUAGGGGGCAAGCGUUAUCCGGAUUUACUGGGUGUAAAGGGAGCGGUGACGGGAGUGCAAGUCUGGAGUGAAAGGCGGGGGCCUAACCCCCGGACUGCUCUGGAAACUGGACGGCUGGAGUGCUGGAGAGGUAAGUGGAAUUCCUAGUGUAGCGGUGAAAUGCGUAGAUAUUAGGAGGAACACCAGUGGCGAAGGCGGCUUACUGGACAGUAACUGACGUUGAGGCUCGAAAGCGUGGGGAGCAAACAGGAUUAGAUACCCGAGUAGUC
rnacentral:rRNA from 1 species